GGAUGGUGUCUUGGGCUUUUGCUUUGCAGGGGCUCCUGGCCAAGGGCUUUUGACAGUGGACAAGUGGGCCCACGGAAGCAAGCUCCCCAAGAACACCCCCCUGGGAAGCUUUUACUGGUGCUGGAGGAGAGCAAGCUGGUUGCGUCUGGCAAAGGGGCAACGUCCUUUUCGGAGACAUCAAGAGAGAAUCCCUCCUGCCUGACUACCUUUGAGCUGAGACAUCAGUUUUUUUCCUGCCUUUGGACUAGAACCAAAACACCUGCUCUUCCUGGGUAUCCAGCCUGCUGGCCUUUGCACUAGAAUGACAGCAUCCAUCUCCUUGGUCUUCAACUUGCUGACUGCACAUCUUAGGAUUUAUCAACCUCUAUAAUCACUAGAGAUGGGGUUUCAUCAUGUUGUCCAGGCAGGUCU